rnacentral:rRNA from 1 species
CCUACGGGAGGCAGCAGUGAGGAAUAUUGGUCAAUGGGCGAGAGCCUGAACCAGCCAAGUCGCGUGAGGGAGUACUGCCCUAUGGGUUGUAAACCUCUUUUGUCGAGGAGCAAAAGCCGGACGUGUCCGGCUGUGAGAGUACCCGAAGAAAAAGCCUCGGCUAACUCCGUUCCAGCAGCCGCUGUAAUACGGAGGAUGCGAGCGUUAUCCGGCUUUAUUGGGUUUAAGGGGUGCGCAGGCGGAUGUUUAAGGCAGCGGUAAAAUCGGGGGUCUAAACCCCAUCAAGCCGUUGAAACUGGGGAUCUAGAGUGGGCGCGAGGUAUGCGGAAUGCGUGGUGUAGCGGUGAAAUGCAUAGAUAUCACGAAGAACCCCGAUUGCGAAGGCAGCAUACCGGUGCACAACUGACGCUCAGGCACGAAAGUGUGGGUAUCGAACAGGAUUAGAUACCCCUGUAGUC